rnacentral:lncRNA from 1 species
UACUAAGAAAAGUCACAUAAUAAGACCAUACACUAGAAUACCUUGUGAGUUUGUGACUGGAGAACACUGGCACCAACCAAAGUUCUUCCAACAACAUAGCGGCAAUGCUUUCCAACAAAGCAUAAUUGGUUGAUGAGCUUGAUACAUUGCUUGCAGUUCGGAUGGCAUCACAGAAACCCAUAUAAUUAUCAGACGCAAUCGAAAGCCUAAGCAGAUUCUGCGUGGGAUCAUAUUGUUCACAUAAUGAACUCCGAAAUUCUCUAGGAAGUAGGCAGACAUGGAUGAACAGCAUAUCAAUUACGAUUAGUGAAUGCACAUACGGCAAGAAAGAAGAAACGCACAUGAAAAUUUAACAUUACCAUAGCAAAAUGCCAUUGUGUGAUAUCAGUUGAUAGAGAAACAAAACUGAAAUAAAAUUUGGAUAGGAGUGAACAAGAAUAAACAUUUGAGAAUUGUGAGAUAAACCCAACAGCGUUGACAAAAAAUGCCCUUCCUCCUGAAUUACAGAAAACUCCCGAUUUACCAAUACAUGAAAAGUUCUUAUUACUGUUGAAACUUGCAGUAAUAUCAGACACAUCCUUCCAAUUCACAGAGACCAAAAUUGCAAGCAGUUGCACACACACACACACACAAAAUACAAAAAACUCAAACUGUUACCUUACUUUCUCAUCUUCCCUCCCGAUCUACAACACCACUAGANNNNN